rnacentral:misc_RNA from 1 species
CCUCCUUAUACGAUUUAGAACUUAUUUGUUCGUAGUGUCCACACAGAUGAUUGUUAGUUAGUUUUAACCUUAGGGUUUAACUGAUUAAUAUGCUCUUUAAAAAUUUGGAAAAGCUGAUAAUAAAAUUCUGAUAGAUACUUUGUAUUUAUCAAGAGUUUUCAAAAGUAAAAAAAGAAUGAUAGCAGUAUCAUUCAUGUGCCAAUUUAAUCAUUUAUGAUUAAUUGGUAUCUACUUUAGUAUUCAAUAUUAACUUCUGGCGAAGUUAAACUGUCACUAACAAAGACCCGUUUGGUUUGUAUGGUUAAGUGACUUAANCGUACACGGUUGAAUGCCUUGGUUAAAAAGUCUGAAUUCCCACCUAUACUUGGCCGGCCGUUUUACUAAGUGGGAUCCCCGAUCUCCGGGUUCCCAAAACUUUGGGCGUUAAUCCAUGGAGCAAUAAGCUGGUUUCCCCUGGAGGCGAAAAAAUAGUUAAUCCAACAUCCCCAUUUUCCAC